UACGUAGGUGACUAGCGUUGUCCGGAUUUACUGGGCGUAAAGAGCGCGUAGGCGGUCGUUCAAGUCGAGUGUGAAAGCCCCCGGCUCAACUGGGGAGGGUCAUUCGAUACUGAUCGACUCGAAGGCAGGAGAGGGAAGCGGAAUUCCCGGUGUAGUGGUGAAAUGCGUAGAUAUCGGGAGGAACACCAGUGGCGAAGGCGGCUUCCUGGCCUGUUCUUGACGCUGAGGCGCGAAAGCUAGGGGAGCAAACGGG
rnacentral:rRNA from 1 species